CCAAGUACUGUCAAAAUUUUUAAAAGUUUACUGUUAGCUAAAUCGUCAAAGAAGAAAGACUUAAUUUCCAAGUGGUCGACAGCUGUUUGAAAACAAAAAAAAAAAGAAAUCUGAUUUUAGUUAUUAUUUUAAUGGAAAAUAUGUGAAAUUAGUUGAAGGAGGAAAAAGUGUUGUUUUAGUUAUUUGUUUCAAGAAGAAAAGUAUAUUAAUUUGGUAGAAUUUGGACUAUCGCUGUCGGCCACUUGGAAUCACUUACAUAUUUUCACCCCAAGAACAUCAGGGGAUGAAGGAUAAAUCAGGGGAUCUAGCAGCAGUCACUGGGUAUUACAGGAUGGAAUCAUCUUUUUGAGUUUGGUUUUCAAUCAUUAGUUAUCAUUUUUUUGGACAUUGGGAAAGGACAUUACGUUAAUUGGUGUUGGACAGUGGACAGUGGUUUAAGUAUUUUUUUUUAUUAUUAUUAUCAAGAACAUUAAUUUUUCUCCUAAUUGGGACAUUAAAUAUUUAUUAAAAAUAGCAUAUUAAAUAAGUUUACAUUAUACUCCACUUGUUAUAUUUACAUAUUUUUUUCAUACCAAAAACAAAAGAAACAAUUUAAAUAUUUUCAAUUUUUUAAUAAUAAAUAAUACUUCAUCUUUAAGGCUUAAAAUUUGCAUAUUUUCUUUAAUCAAUUUAUUUCUUUUGUUUAUCUUCUCAACUGUAAGGUAAUUGAGCUCAACUAUCCGGAGAAAAUUUGGUAAUUUUUUUUAUAUUAUAAUUAAUGAACCUUGGCUUUCGUCCCCCUCAGGGUAAUUGACCAUUUAACUUGUUUUUAUUAUUGUAACCGCACAUGAAGUUAGAGUUUUACCUCGAGUAGUGUGUCGGUUCAGUUUUGUACCAUAAAUUGGAUUUGACAUUUCAAACCAAUUUUUAGGGGUGGACUUUGUUCCUCUUUUGUUUAAACUACUCUGUAGACUGUAAAUUGUACAUACUUUAUUAGUAAAAUAUUUUUUAUUAAUUUUAGGGUAUACCUUGUUGGUACAUAUACGAAUUUUUUGUACAUAUAAGUAAAAGCUAAAUACACUAUUGAUUGGGUUGUAUAA